UGUGGCCCCCGCCUCCCGGAGAGGAGGUGCGGGGAGGAGGAAGCUGCGAGGGGUGGGCGCGGAGCUGCGGCAGCCGCACAGUUGCCAUUCCAGGCUUGUGUAGGAGAAGACUGUUGUGCGCCUGUGUCUGUCCGCCCAGGCAGCUCCAACCUCUGGUUAAAAAAAGAGAUGGAGUUUGUUUUCCUUCCUCUUGAAUCCGGAUGGCCUUGAGAAUUGUUGCGGCCAGUAGAAUGCUGCAGAAGUAAUGUCAUAUGACUUUUGGUCCUGGGCUAUAAGAGGCCUUACAACUUUCAGUUUUACUUAAGUCUUGGGAUCUAGACACCAUGUUUAAGAAGCUUGGAAUUCUGGAUGAUCUGAAACCACAUUGAGAGACCAGCCAGUGUCCCAACCAUUCCAGCCAUUGCAGCUGAGGUACGAAAUAUGUAAAUAAAACCAUCUUGGAUUCUCCAGCUCCAGCCAAGCUGUCCCAGCCAACCAAAUGGAACAGAGACAAACCAUCACCAAGGAGCCCCACCCAAACUGCACAAUCAUGAGAAAUAAUAAAUGGUGUUUUUAAGCCACUGUUUGGGGGGUUAUCUGUUAUGUAGCAAUAGAUAACUACAAUAGGACCGGUUUCAGGAUCCAUUUUAUGACAAAACUUGUAGAAACACAUUGCAUUUAAAAGCAGAGCCUCUGCAAUUUCUAGCAAAAUUACAGAUGUAAUUAUUCUUUGUGUCAGUAGUUUCCCUUCUAGGAAUCUAUUCCAAAGAUGACCUAACAAAAUAUACAAAGAGGUACGUUGGCUAUUCAUUGCAGCACCAUUUGUAAUAGCAACAAAACCAAUUCAAGUAUAUUAGUAGGCUAUUGGUUGAAUACGCUUUGUAACAUCUACCUCAUGGCAGUGAUACACAGCUAUAGAAAAGGAGUGAGGAAUACCUCUAAACUGCCAUGGAGUGAUCAUCAGGAUAUAAGGUUGAGUGAAAAAAGUGAGGCAGAGAAAAUUGUGUACGGUAUGAUAUGCUACUGGUUAACUUACUUUUUUUUUAAGUGAAAGGAUAAAUUAUAAAAUUUUCAAAAGAAAUUAUUGCCUAUAGAGAGAGGGAGGGAAUAGGGUAAAUGACAUCACAGGAAUAUAAUCUGCUAACUCUAGAUUGGGAAACUGUAUAGAACAACCAACCCAGUUUCUCAAAAAAUUAAAAAAGGAGUUGGGGGCAACAAAAUGGGAACCUAGUGUUUAAAAAGAGGGACUUAAGAACAUGUUAACUAAUUGCAAUUUGUGAACCUAUUUGUAUUCUGAUUUGAACAAAUAAACUGAAAAAGUUUAUCAGACAAUGGGAAAAUUUAAACUGGUUGAGUACUCAAUGAUAUUAAGGAUUUAUUAUUUAGGUGUGAUAAUGGUAGUGUGGUUAUGUUCUUAAAAGAAUCUUCAUAUAUUAGAGAUACACGUUGAAAUUUUUUAUGGAUGAAAUGAUAUGACACUGAGAGUUUCUUGAAAAGAAUUGCAUGGAUUGGUGAA